rnacentral:rRNA from 1 species
GAUGAACGCUGGCGGCGUGCCUAAUACAUGCAAGUCGAGCGAACGGACGAGAAGCUUGCUUCUCUGAUGUUAGCGGCGGACGGGUGAGUAACACGUGGAUAACCUACCUAUAAGACUGGGAUAACUUCGGGAAACCGGAGCUAAUACCGGAUAAUAUUUUGAACCGCAUGGUUCAAAAGUAAAAGACGGUCUUGCUGUCACUUAUAGAUGGAUCCGCGCUGCAUUAGCUAGUUGGUAAGGUAGCGGCUUACCAAGGCAACGAUGCAUAGCCGACCUGAGAGGGUGAUCGGCCACACUGGAACUGAGACACGGUCCAGACUACUACGGGAGGCAGCAGUAGGGAAUCUUCCGCAAUGGGCGAAAGCCUGACGGAGCAACGCCGCGUGAGUGAUGAAGGUCUUCGGAUCGUAAAACUCUGUUAUUAGGGAAGAACAUAUGUGUAAGUAACUGUGCACAUCUUGACGGUACCUAAUCAGAAAGCCACGGCUAACUACGUG